rnacentral:lncRNA from 10 species
GGCCUCCCCUCAUUAAGAGUGGUUACUGCGUGAAGCAAGGGAAUGUGCGGAAGAGCUGGAAACGUCGCUUCUUUGCACUUGAUGACUUUACCAUCUGCUACUUCAAGUGUGAGCAGGACCGAGAACCACUGCGCACCAUAUUUCUUAAGGAUGUUCUGAAGACCCAUGAAUGUCUGGUCAAGUCUGGUGAUCUCUUAAUGAGGGACAACCUGUUUGAAAUAAUAACAAGCUCCAGGACCUUCUACGUACAGGUACAAUGUACAAUCUGAAGCCAUAUCAAGAAAUUUUUAUACUCUUACAUUAAAAUCCAUUGGUCAAUUUUGCACUUUGAAUAGAUA